rnacentral:rRNA from 1 species
UACGUAGGGUGCAAGCGUUGUCCGGAAUUAUUGGGCGUAAAGAGCUCGUAGGCGGUCUGUCGCGUCGGCUGUGAAAUCCCGAGGCUCAACCUCGGGUCUGCAGUCGAUACGGGCAAACUAGAGUAUUGCAGGGGAGACUGGAACUCCUGGUGUAGCGGUGAAAUGCGCAGAUAUCAGGAGGAACACCGGUGGCGAAGGCGGGAUCCUGGGCCAGUACUGACGCUGAGGAGCGAAAGCGUGGGGAGCAAACAGG